rnacentral:rRNA from 1 species
AUUGAACGCUGGCGGCAUGCUUUACACAUGCAAGUCGGACGAGUGGCGAACGGGUGAGUAAUAUAUCGGAACGUACCGAGUAAUGGGGGAUAACUACUCGAACGAUUAGCUAAUACCGCAUAGUAUUCGAGCGGCCGAUAUCUGAUUAGCUAGUUGGUGGGGUACAGGCAUACCAAGGCGACGAUGAGUAGCGGGUCUGAGAGGAUGAUAGGCCACACUGGGACUGAGACACGGCCCAGAGGCCUACGGGAGGCAGCAGGGGGGAAUGUGGGAAAAUUGGAGCAAGCCUGAACCAGCCAUGCCGCGUGUCUGAAGGAGGCCUGUGGGUUGUAAAGGAGUUUUGUCAGGGAAGCGGUACCUGAAGAAUAAGCACCGGCUAACUACGUGCCAGCCGCCGCGGUAAUUC